UAGAUGAGUGUGUCAGUUCAU
rnacentral:piRNA from 1 species